UAGGGAAUCUUCCGCAAUGGACGAAAGUCUGACGGAGCAACGCCGCGUGAGUGAAGAAGGAUUUCGGUUCGUAAAACUCUGUUGUUAGGGAAGAAAAAAUGUAUAGUAACUAUAUACAAAAGAGACGGUACCUAACCAGAAAGCCACGGCUAACUACGUGCCAGCAGCCGCGGUAAUACGUAGGUUGCAAGCGUUGUCCGGAAUUAUUGGGCGUAAAGCGCGCGCAGGUGGUUUAGAAAGUCUGAUGUGAAAGCCCACGGCUCAACCGUGGAGGGUCAGUGGAAACUAAUAAACGUGAGUGCAGGAGAGAAAAGUGGAAUUCCUAGUGUAGCGGUGAAAUGCGUAGAGAUUAGGAGGAACACCGGUGGCGAAGGCGGCUUUUUGGCCUGCAACUGACACUGAGGCGCGAAAGCGUGGGGAGCAAACAGG
rnacentral:rRNA from 1 species